AUACAGAGGGUGCAAGCGUUAAUCGGAAUUACUGGGCGUAAAGCGUGCGUAGGUGGUUUGAUAAGUUAUGUGUGAAAUUCUUGGGCUCAACCUAGGAGCUGCACAUAAAACUGUCAAACUAGAGUAUUGUAGAGGAAAGUGGAAUUUCCGGUGUAGCGGUGAUAUGCGUAGAUAUUGGAAGGAACACCAGUGGCGAAGGCGACUUUCUGGACAAAUACUGACACUGAGGUACGAAAGCGUGGGGAGCAAACAGGAUUAGAAACCCCAGUAGUCC
rnacentral:rRNA from 1 species